UGAAUACGAGACGCUAAGGCGUCGAAGUAGUGUAUGUCAUACUUCCAAGAAAAGCUUGCACUGUCAUAGAUAAAAAACGCCUGUACCAUAACCGACACAGGUGGGUAGGUAGAGUAUACUAAGGGGCGCGAGAUAACUCUCUCUAAGGAACCCGGCAAAAUAACUCCGUAACUUCGGGAGAAGGAGUGCCUUAUUCGUAAGGUUGCAAUAACAAGAUCCAAGCAACUGUUUAUCAAAAACACAGGUCUCCGCUAAGUCGUAAGACGAUGUAUGGGGGCUGACGCCUGCCCAGUGCCAGAAGGUUAAAGAAGUUGGUUAGCAAUUGCGAAGCUGAUAACUGAAGCCCUGGUGAACGGCGGCCGUAACAAUAACGGUCCUAAGGUAGCGAAAUUCCUUGUCGGGUAAGUUCCGACCCGCACGAAAGGCGUAAUGAUUUGGAUACUGUCUCGGAGAGGGGCUCGGUGAAAUAGACUUGUCUGUGAAGAUGCGGACUACCUGCACCAGGACAGAAAGACCCUAUGAAGCUUUACUGUAACUUGAAAUUGAAAUUGGACUUUAUUCGCGCAGUAUAGGUGGGAGGCGUUGAUUAUAAUCUUGUGGGAUUAUUGGAGCCAUCAGUGAGAUACCACUCUUGUAAUGUUAGAUUUCUAACUUUGAAUCAUUAUCUGGUCAAAGAACAGUUUCAGGCGGGCAGUUUGACUGGGGCGGUCGCCUCCUAAACGGUAACGGAGGCGUACAAAGGUUUCCUCUGAACGGUUAGAAAUCGUAUCUAGAGUGUAAAGGCAUAAGGAAGCUUGACUGUGAGACCUACAAGUCGAGCAGGGACGAAAGUCGGUCUUAGUGAUCUGACGGUACUGAGUGGAAAGGCCGUCACUCAACGGAUAAAAGUUACUCUAGGAUAACAGGCUGAUCUCCCCCAAGAGUUCACAUCGACGGGGAGGUUUGGCACCUCGAUGUCGGCUCAUCGCAUCCUGGGGCGGUAGUACGUCCCAAGGGUUGGGCUGUUCGCCCAUGAAAGCGGUACGCGAGCUGGGUUCAGAACGUCGUGAGACAGUUCGGUCCAUAUCCGGUGUAGGCGUUAGAAUAUUGAGAGGAGCCUUCUUUAGUACGAGAGGACCGAGAAGGACAUACCUCUGGUGUACCAGUUAUCGUGCCAACGGUAAACGCUGGGUAGCUAUGUAUGGAGUGGAUAACCGCUGAAAGCAUCUAAGUGGGAAGCCCACCUCAAGAUAAGUAUUCCC
rnacentral:rRNA from 1 species